rnacentral:rRNA from 1 species
UGGGGAAUCUUGCGCAAUGGGCGAAAGCCUGACGCAGCCAUGCCGCGUGAGUGAUGAAGGCCUUAGGGUUGUAAAACUCUUUCACCGGGGACGAUAAUGACGGUACCCGGAGAAGAAGCCCCGGCUAACUUCGUGCCAGCAGCCGCGGUAAUACGAAGGGGGCUAGCGUUGCUCGGAAUUACUGGGCGUAAAGGGCGCGUAGGCGGAUCAGCAAGUUGGGGGUGAAAGCCCGGGGCUCAACCUCGGAAUUGCCUUCAAAACUGCUGAUCUAGAGUACGGGAGAGGUGUGUGGAACUCCGAGUGUAGAGGUGAAAUUCGUAGAUAUUCGGAAGAACACCAGUGGCGAAGGCGACACACUGGCCCGUUACUGACGCUGAGGCGCGAAAGCGUGGGGAGCAAACAGGAUUAGAUACCCUGGUAGUCCACGCUGUAAACGAUGACUGCUAGUUGUCGGCAGGCAUGCCUGUCGGUGACGCAGCUAACGCAUUAAGCAAUCCGCCUGGGGAGUACGGUCGCAAGAUUAAAACUCAAAGG